rnacentral:rRNA from 1 species
CCUACGGGUGGCAGCAGUGGGGAAUAUUGCGCAAUGGGCGAAAGCCUGACGCAGCGACGCCGCGUGAGGGAUGAAGGUCUUCGGAUCGUAAACCUCUGUCAGCAGGGAAGAACGGUCACUGUGCUAAUCAGCAGUGAAUUGACGGUACCUGCAAAGGAAGCACCGGCUAACUCCGUGCCAGCAGCCGCGGUAAUACGGAGGUUGCGAGCGUUAAUCGGAAUUACUGGGCGUAAAGCGCUCGUAGGCGGUAUGUCAAGUCAAGGGUGAAAUCCCCGCGCUCAACGUGGGAACUGCCUUUGAAACUGGCAAACUGGAGUGUGUGAGAGGAUAGUGGAAUUCCAGGUGUAGGAGUGAAAUGCGUAGAUAUCUGGAGGAACAUCAGUGGCGAAGGCGACUAUCUGGCACAUAACUGACGCUGAGGAGCGAAAGCGUGGGUAGCAAACAGGAUUAGAUACCCGAGUAGUC